CUGGAGUUCGAAAAGCCUGCGAGUCUAGAGGCCUAGCCUCGGCGUACCGCUCAGUAACACGUGGGUAACCUACCCUAUGCUGGGGAAUAAGCUCGGGAAACUGAGAAUAAUACCCCAUAGUCCACUACGCCUGGAACGGUGAGUGGAUCAAAGCUCCGGCGGCAUAGGAUGGGCCUGCGGCGUAUCAGGUUGUAGGGGGUGUAAUGUACCCUCUAGCCAUCUACGCGUACGGGUGUUGGGAGACAUUGCCCGGAGAUGGAUUCUGAGACACGAAUCCAGACCCUACGGGGUGCAGCAGGCGCGAAAACUUGGCAAUGCGAGAAAUCGUGACCAGGGAACUCCAAGUGGCAGGGGUAAGACCCUGUCUUUUUCCGACUCUAAAUAGGUCGGCGAAUAAGGGGUGGGUAAGGACGGUGCCAGCCGCCGCGGUAAUACCGGCGCCUCAAGUGGUAGUCGCUCUUAUUGGGCCUAAAACNUCCGUAGCCGGUCUGGUACAUUCGUGGGUAAAUNAACUCGCUCAACGAGUUGAAUUCUGCGAGGACGGCCA
rnacentral:rRNA from 1 species